ensembl:snRNA U4atac minor spliceosomal RNA
ACCUUCCUUGUCUCGGGGUGAGAGAGCUACUCAAUGAACGUAUAGUGAGGGUAGCCCUGCUAACACCAUAACGACACAUAAGCAUCACCUGAGCUUGCUCAGAUCAUGGUGCAAUUUUUGGAACC